UCAGUAACGGCGAGUGAAGCGGUAACAGCUCAAAUUUGAAAUCUGGCCUCACGGUCCGAGUUGUAAUUUGUAGAGGAUGCUUCGAGCAUGGUCUGGCCUAAGUUCCUUGGAACAGGACGUCAUAGAGGGUGAGAAUCCCGUAUGCGGCCAGGUGCCUACGCUCAUGUGAAGCUCCUUCGACGAGUCGAGUUGUUUGGGAAUGCAGCUCAAAAUGGGUGGUAAAUUUCAUCUAAAGCUAAAUAUUGGCCAGAGACCGAUAGCGCACAAGUAGAGUGAUCGAAAGAUGAAAAGCACUUUGGAAAGAGAGUUAAACAGUACGUGAAAUUGUUGAAAGGGAAGCGCUUGCAACCAGACUUGCGCGCGGCCGAUCAUCCGGUGUUCUCACCGGUGCACUCGGCCGUGCUCAGGCCAGCAUCGGUUUUGGCGGCUGGAUAAAGGCCCUAGGAAUGUAGCUCCUCUCGGGGAGUGUUAUAGCCUAGGGUGCAAUGCAGCCUGCUGGGACCGAGGACCGCGCUUCGGCUAGGAUGCUGGCGUAAUGGUUGUAAGCGGCCCGUCUUGAAACACGGACCAAGGAGUCUAACAUCUAUGCGAGUGUUUGGGUGUCAAACCCAUACGCGUAAUGAAAGUGAACGGAGGUGAGAACCCUUAAGGGUGCAUCAUCGACCGGUCCUGAAGUUUACGGAAGGAUCUGAGUAAGAGCAUAGCUGUUGGG
rnacentral:rRNA from 1 species